UUGUCUCAAAGAUUAAGCCAUGCAUGUCUCAGUACAAGCCAAAUUAAGGUGAAACCGCGAAAGGCUCAUUAAAUCAGUUAUGGUUCCUUAGAUCGUACCCACAAUUACUUGGAUAACUGUGGUAAUUCUAGAGCUAAUACAUGCAAACAGAGCUCCGACCGGAGACGGAAGGAGUGCUUUUAUUAGAUCAAAACCAAUCGGUGGCGGGUUGGUGACACUGAAUAACUUUACGCUGAUCGCACGGUCAUCGCACCGGCGACGCAUCUUUCAAAUGUCUGCCUUAUCAACUGUCGAUGGUAGGUUCUGCGCCUACCAUGGUUGUAACGGGUAACGGGGAAUCAGGGUUCGAUUCCGGAGAGGGAGCCUGAGAAACGGCUACCACAUCCAAGGAAGGCAGCAGGCGCGCAAAUUACCCACUCCCGGCACGGGGAGGUAGUGACGAAAAAUAACGAUACGGGACUCAUCCGAGGCCCCGUAAUCGGAAUGAGUACACUCUAAACCCUUUAACGAGGAUCAAUUGGAGGGCAAGUCUGGUGCCAGCAGCCGCGGUAAUUCCAGCUCCAAUAGCGUAUAUUA
rnacentral:rRNA from 1 species